rnacentral:lncRNA from 1 species
UGAGGAUUUAUUCAGCAAAUAUUUAUUUUGCCCCUGCAAGCCAGCUUAUUCUUAAAUGGAUGCUUUAAAGUAUCACGAAUAACAUAAUAGCAACAACAAAUAUGUGAGACAAUCAAGGCGAAGGGAAGCGAGGUCUUUGCAACAACUGAGAUGAACUGAAUCAGAGGAGCAGUAACCCAAAAGGUACAAAGGAUACAGAGAAAGAUAAAAAUUUAAAAGCCUCAAAAUAUUUUCAG